ACGACUCUCGGCAACGGAUAUCUCGGCUCUCGCAUCGAUGAAGAACGCAGCGAAAUGCGAUACUUGGUGUGAAUUGCAGAAUCCCGUGAACCAUCGAGUUUUUGAACGCAAGUUGCGCCCAAAGCCUUCUGGCCGAGGGCACGUCUGCCUGGGUGUCACGCAACAU
rnacentral:rRNA from 1 species